UACGUAGGUGACAAGCGUUGUCCGGAUUUACUGGGCGUAAAGAGCGCGCAGGCGGUCGUUCAAGUCGAGUGUGAAAGCCCCCGGCUCAACUGGGGAGGGUCAUUCGAUACUGAUCGACUCGAAGGCAGGAGAGGGUAGUGGAAUUCCCGGUGUAGUGGUGAAAUGCGUAGAUAUCGGUAGGAACACCAGUGGCGAAAGCGACUACCUGGCCUGUUCUUGACGCUGAGGCGCGAAAGCUAGGGUAGCAAACGGG
rnacentral:rRNA from 1 species